rnacentral:lncRNA from 1 species
UAUUUGAAAUUUUAACAGAGCUUGGUUUUUUUCUUUUGAAUUGUUUCAUUUUGUAAUUUUGAAACCUUUACGAAUGGGUCAGAUUGCUCAAUCUUCAAGAACGUAAAGUAGAUGGUUUUAGUCGAUAUAGAAAGAUGUGGUAUAAAUGCCAACGAGACAACCCUCUCCAUCCAAAAACAAGUUGUUUUAAGUAUACUACUUAUAUAGAUAUAGGAAGAUGUGGUGUGAGUGCCAAUGAGACAACUCUCCAUCCAAAUGACAAUUUAAAAAGUAAACCAUUAUAGGUUAAAGUACGGCAUUCAACACGGAGCCUUGGCUCACACCGAACAACAAGCUACAAAGGGCCCAAAAUUACUAGUGUAAAACCAUUCAAACGGGAAAACCAACGUUCUAAUCUAUAUAAACAAAACGAAAAACGAGAAACACGUAUAUAUUACAUAAACAAAC